AUUGAACGCUGGCGGAAUGCUUUACACAUGCAAGUCGAACGGCAGCACGGGGGCUUGCUCCUGGUGGCGAGUGGCGAACGGGUGAGUAACGCGUCGGAACGUACCGAGUAAUGGGGGAUAACGCAGCGAAAGCUGUGCUAAUACCGCAUACGCCCUGAGGGGGAAAGUGGGGGAUCGCAAGACCUCACGUUAUUCGAGCGGCCGACGUCUGAUUAGCUUGUUGGUGAGGUAAUGGCUCACCAAGGCGACGAUCAGUAGCGGGUCUGAGAGGAUGAUCCGUCACACUGGAACUGAGACACGGUCCAGACUCCUACGGGAGGCAGCAGUGGGGAAUUUUGGACAAUGGGGGCAACCCUGAUCCAGCCAUUCCGCGUGAGUGAAGAAGGCCUUCGGGUUGUAAAGCUCUUUCAGCCGGAACGAAACGGUAUUCCUUAAUACGGGAUGCUAAUGACGGUACCGGCAGAAGAAGCACCGGCUAACUACGUGCCAGCAGCCGCGGUAAUACGUAGGGUGCGAGCGUUAAUCGGAAUUACUGGGCGUAAAGCGUGCGCAGGCGGAUUGUUAAGCAAGAUGUGAAAUCCCCGGGCUUAACCUGGGAAUGGCAUUUUGAACUGGCAGUCUAGAGUGUGUCAGAGGGGGGUGGAAUUCCACGUGUAGCAGUGAAAUGCGUAGAUAUGUGGAGGAACACCAAUGGCGAAGGCAGCCCCCUGGGAUAACACUGACGCUCAUGUACGAAAGCGUGGGUAGCAAACAGGAUUAGAUACCCUGGUAGUCCACGCCCUAAACGAUGUCAACUGGUUGUUGGGGGAGUGAAAUCCCUUAGUAACGAAGCUAACGCGUGAAGUUGACCGCCUGGGGAGUACGGUCGCAAGAUUA
rnacentral:rRNA from 1 species